GGAUUAGAUACCCCACUAUGCCUAGCCUUAAACACAAAUAGUUAUGCAAACAAAACUAUUCGCCAGAGUACUACCGGCAAUAGCUUAAAACUCAAAGGACUUGGCGGUGCUUUAUACCCUUCUAGAGGAGCCUGUUCUAUAAUCGAUAAACCCCGAUAAACCUCACCAUUCCUUGCUAAUACAGUCUAUAUACCGCCAUCUUCAGCGAACCCUAAAAAGGAUCAAAAGUAAGCACAAUCAUAAUACAUAAAGACGUUAGGUCAAGGUGUAACCUAUGGAACGGAAAGAAAUGGGCUACAUUUUCUAAUCUAAGAAAAUCCAACACGAAAGUUAUUAUGAAAUUAAUAACCAAAGGAGGAUUUAGCAGUAAACUAAGAAUAGAGUGCUUAGUUGAACUAGGCCAUGAAGCACGCACACACCGCCCGUCACCCUCCUCA
rnacentral:rRNA from 1 species